rnacentral:rRNA from 1 species
CAGCCGCCGCGGGAAUACGUAGGUCCCGAGCGUUGUCCGGAUUUAUUGGGCGUAAAGCGAGCGCAGGCGGUUAGAUAAGUUUGAAGUUAAAGGCUGUGGCUUAACCAUAGUACGCUUUGGAAACUGUUUAACUUGAGUGCAAGAGGGGGGAGUGGAAUUCCAUGUGUAGCGGUGAAAUGCGUAGAUAUAUGGAGGAACACCGGUGGCGAAAGCGGCUCCCUGGCUUGUAACUGACGCUGAGGCUCGAAAGCGUGGGGAGCAAACAGGAUUAGAUACCCGGGUAGUCCCUGUCUCUUAUAAA